rnacentral:lncRNA from 1 species
GAGGAUACAGGGGGCAGGUGGGUGUGGGGGGGGAUUAGGGGGGGGGAUUAAGGGGGAUCGGUGAGGUUAGGGGCCAAAACACUGACGUAGGGGCGAGACUAAAGGUAGGCGAGAUAGCACAUUAGAUGCCUUGCAGCCUGCCGACGAGGACACAUAUUUAUGCAUUGAUUUCAGCCAGAAGACCCUACGUCUGUCUGCCUGUGGCAAACACCGAAGCCGGCGUGUGAGGACGGAUCGGCCAUGCCUGAGCAUACAUCGAAGACAGGUGCCAGGUGAGCGUGGACGUAGUUGGUUUGAGCAGGGGUACACCUUACUCGUUGAGUUACAUAAGGGGAAGUGCAGGGGCCGUCAUUGAUGGGAGUCUCAAAGCCGGCUCAAAUUUGAGUCCCACGGCACACGUACGUUGAGCUGGCCCAUUGGGAAGCCACCUUACGUGGGGCAGACCUGAGGCAAACGGAGCGUUUGAUAAACUGCAUACCGCACAGCUAACAUCCUUGCACACGUCUUGCUGCAGGCUGCUGGCGAGUCAGGGACGCAUUAACUUGCACGGUGCGGGCUGCCAAGAUUGCUGUGCGCUUGCAAGGGCGGGGCAGAGUCCAGAUUUCGCCCAAGAUAUCACAUUGCUAUGAAUACAAUAUUAACGCGCGCCAACAUCCAUUAUCUGUGCAGGGCACGGCAGGACGCAGCUGCUGGGCAGGGUGCAGCGUGGCGGCGCAACUUGGCGGGCGGUGGCAUGGCUAAGCUGGGUAGCUUGGUGGCGAAGCAUCCGAGGAGCAUGCAUGCGUCGGAUGCUUUACCAACGGUGGUGUACUGUUGAUGCUAGACAGAUUCUAUGUGAAUCGUUAAGCUUAGGACCUGGCGGUGGUCGCUUGCACAUGGACACAUACCGUAUGGACAUCGCACGUACAUGCAGCCAAGGAGCCCCGGGGCGCCCCAC